rnacentral:lncRNA from 1 species
UCCCCCCGGUGCUGCAGGAAGGAGAGCAGGAAGGAUCACGACGCGAGACCUGCGCCUGAGCCAAAGAAACUCGACGAGAGCCCGGCCUCCUUCAGCCACGCCAGCAAGUACGCGGCGCUGUCGGUGGACGGCGAGGACGACGGCGAGGACGAGGAGAGCGCCGAGUGAGAGCCUCGCGCCGCCCCCCCGUGCCCCCCCGGGGAGCCAAAGCAAAGCUGUCCCCGGCAGGCCCCAAAUCAAUCCUGAAAGUCAGCGCCUCCGGAGACCCCGUAAACAUCGUAACGCAGGAAGAAAAAAACAGAAAAAACACACAAAAAACGAAAAGUACAAAAAGGGAGGAAAACACCCCAAAAAAAAGGACUCUGGGCGCUGCUGCAGCCUCUGGCGACCCCCGAGCCGCAGGUGGGGGCUCGCAGCCCCCGGGCUCCCCCCCCACGGAGGGGCUUCGGGGCCCCAGCUGGCAGCCCUGGGACCUCCCCUGGCCCCCCUCUGCCUGCCCCAAAGCGGCCCCAAAAUCCUCGGGUUUGAGCCCAUUUUGGGGAGGGGGUGCCCAGGGGGCAGCGCACCCACCAGGGGAGGCCCCGGAGCUGCCUUUUACUUGCCCCCUGCCCCCCCCGGCCGGGGGCUUUGGGGGGGUUGGGGGGUUUUGGGGUUGUUUUUUUUGUUGUUUCCUCCAAUAAAGCGGAUCUCAAACAUUCCCUGCAGCUCCCGGGCUGCCUUCAUCCCCCCCCCCCUCCCCUUCCUUUUCCCCUUCCUCCUCCUCCUCUUCCUCUUCCUCCCCCUCCCUGCCCCGUGUCCCGUCCGCGCUCCCCUGGCUCGGAGCCCGCGGAGAGGUGAAGUUUAAUUGGGGGGGGGGGGGGUGGAGCUAAUUGCUGCUAAUUGCCAGGGGGUGCUGCAGGCCCCACCCCCUCCUCCCUGGGGGGCCGGGCCCUUUAAAAGCCCCAAACCCUCCCCAAAAGUCCCAAAUCCCCCAAAAAGCCCCAAAUCCCGGCCGCACACAAUCGGCCUCUGUUGGCUGCAGGGCCGGAGCCAGGCGGGGGGGGGGGGCGGGGGGGGGGGGGGGGGCGGGGGGGGGCCCCGGGGGAUGGGGGGGGGGGACGGGCAGGGGGGGGACACUGAGCCGCCCCCCGCCGGGGACACGUUUCCCCCCUCCCCCCCAGAGCCCCAUUUGGGGACCCCGAAGCUUGGGGGGGGGGCACACGAGGGACAGGGUUGUGCCCUGCGGGGGGGGGCGGGGUCCCAAGAAAAAAAAAUAAUAAAAAGCGGAGGAAAUAAAUAAAUAAAUAAAUA